UACGUAGGGGGCUAGCGUUGUCCGGAUUUAUUGGGCGUAAAGAGCGUGUAGGCGGUUUGGUAGGUCCGCUGUGAAAACUCGAGGCUCAACCUCGAGACGCCGGUGGAAACCAUCAGGCUAGAGUCCGGAAGAGGAGAGUGGAAUUCCUGGUGUAGCGAUGAAAUGCGCAGAUAUCAGGAAGAACACCCGUGGCUAAGGCGGCUCUCUAGUACGGUACUGACGCUGAGACGCGAAAGCGUGGGGAGCGAACAGG
rnacentral:rRNA from 1 species